GGAACUUGGCAGGAGGAGCCCCAGAGGCCGCCUCUUCCUGAUUCAUUUUGCUCAGGAAGAUGUUCUUAGCAGCAUCUAUCUUCCUAUCUUCUUUUUUCUCUUCAGUAUUCUUGGCGAGGCCUGGGCUUCCUCUAUUGGCAGCAGGUUUCAGAACCACACCAGAGAAGGUGAUUGGAAGAGGAAAAUGGAAGUGACUCAAAAUGGUGGUAAAAAUGAUCUUUCAAGAAGAUCAAGCUUAUAUGUAUACAUAUGUCCAGAUGACAUUGCACUUGAUUGACAAUAUUUUUUAAAACUUUUAAAACAUUUUAAACGACUUACACAUAAGUGUGGCAAAACUGUAAUAAAGGACCAAUGUCAAAUUUCUAAUACAAAUAAAAACAAUACAAAACUA